UCCCGGAUGGUGCAGCGGCAGCACGUCAGGUUCUGGCCCUGAAAACUGAGGUUCGAAUCCUUGUCCGGGAG
rnacentral:tRNA from 1 species